AUGGGUAUUAUCAAACACGGUCUCCUCAGCUCGUUGGUAUUUGUGCUCUGGAUAACAGGUCGAACCAAUGGAAGUGAUGUCACCCAGACCUCAAUACUGUGGAAAAAAGAGGGUGACAAUGCAGAAAUACAAUGCAGUCACACCAAGGGUGGUACCUACUACCAGAUGUACUGGUACAGACAGCUGCCUGGAGAAACUAUGAGACAAGUUGUGUUAUCAAUUGCCAACACCAAACCUACCUUUGAACCAGACUUCACAGAUGAAAAAUUUUCAGUCACUAAGCCUAAUGCUGAGACUGGAACAUUCACAGUGAAGAAUCUGGUGCCAGAAGAUAAAGGCUUGUAUUUCUGUGCUGUAAGUGAACACAGUGAUACAGACACAUGUGAGAGCUGA